rnacentral:rRNA from 1 species
UGGCUCAGAACGAACGCUGGCGGCAGGCCUAACACAUGCAAGUCGAGCGCCCCGCAAGGGGAGCGGCAGACGGGAGAGUAACACGUGGGAACGUGCCCUUUGGUUCGGAACAACACAGGGAAACUUGUGCUAAUACCGGAUAAGCCCUUACGGGGAAAGAUUUAUCGCCAAAGGAUCGGCCCGCGUCUGAUUAGCUAGUUGGGAGGUAAUUCUCACCAAGGCGACGGUCAGAGCUGGUCUGAGAGGAUGAUCAGCCUCACUGGGACUUAAUCCGGCCCAGAGGAUACGGGANGCAGCA